AUUAUGCUGGUGAGAACAAUUUCGUUCAGUUUCGCUUAUGACGGCAUUAACUAACUUCAUUUGAACACAUCCAUUGCUCAUUGCUUUCUGAACCACGUGUUGUUUGUUAUAUUGACAUACUCGUACUUGUACCUGGACACCCUGAUAUUCCGUCGACGCUGAGGUGUUUGAUUGACACCCGGGACAUUAUCGACCGGUUAUUUUCUCUGCCCUGAUUCGUUAACCCUGCAUCUUCCCUCCGCUCGACCUCUUCAACUUUAUGCUCGUGCUGUGUUGGCUGUCGCCUUCACACUCUUCGCUUCGAUGGCGUCACCCUCUCUGAGGCGUCUGCCUGUGUCACCCACGUGGAUCAGUGACGUCCCCUGCAGGCUGGGGGUGUCGUCCUAACAGUCUUCCCCUGUCAAUCAGUUCGUUCAGUCAGCGGUAUCAUUCUCUCUUCCUUCGUUUGGUUGGCUGAGGAGGCUCCUGUUCCGAAUCAGGCGCUAAUGUCAUGGUGAUUCCAAAGUGAUUACGUUAUAUUCCGAUAUACCACUCUUACAGUAAUGGGGUGAUAUUUUUCAUAUUCCAUUUCACUUUGCUUUCCCAUCUUCUCUUACAUUACUGCACACGUAAACACUCAUCAUAUACAAUAUCGGCUUACCCGGGCAAAUCUAUCAAAUUUUGGAUUCAUUUCAGUAGCUGCUUUGCAAUUGCUUGCUGCUUUAAAAUGCUUGCGCUGCUUGGGCUUAGAAUUCAUUCAUAUUCAUAUUAUUUAUUUGCUAACUAAUUGUAGCUAGAAGAUCGAAUUCGCCCAGUAGGGCGAUCUAACUACAUGAAAUGGUUUUUAUUUAAAAUAGAAAGACCCGUGUCUUUCUAUGUGUCUAGGUAUGUCUUGACGCGAUAUUUAUGAAUGAGUUACAUUAUGUACUCACUGCUUGACGUUUAGUUAUAAUGGGUGGGACGCGAAUGAUUAAAAUCAGUUUUUAAUGUUAUACAUUUCAUGUAGGUAGAUGGGGAGUAGAAGGGAGAGUGCAUAACAAAACUAAUCUUACUAACCAUUGGCUUGCCUUUAAUUAAUUAUAAGAUCAAAUUAAUGUUAUGGUACUAUCCCAUGUGCCAACCUCACCUGCUCGCGCCAACAGCCGGCUGUUGGCGGCAGCGGCGUGGCUCACCGCGAGAAUGAGACGCUCCGCUGCGGUGCUCCCUGCUGUCUUACUGACGAGGCUCUGGCUUUAACUAAUAUUUAUGGCUGUCUUUUACUAACAUUGUAUGUCAUGUCAUGUUAUAGAGCUUGCAGAUGGACUAACCAGGCUGGCAGUGUGUGGCAGCUAACUUGUUUAUAAAUGUGGAAACAUCUCAUUCACACAAAACACAGAUGAGCCGUGCAAUGCUUUGAUGUGUCUCUAAUUAUACAUCGAUGUAAACUCUAACAAUGCAUAGCCAAAUAUAAAUCUAAUUUUAAUAUGUUUUAUAUUACAGAUGACAAACGAUUUAUUAGUAAUAUCACUGUUUAUAUCUUAUCUGGAUAAGAUACUCAAUUAGACAUCAAGAUGACUGUCACUCGUACACUCAAAAGAUACUAAGAGUAUAGAAGCCAAAAGAGAAACUUGAGUGAUGCAAAAGUUAAAAUUGCUACGAUGGUGCUCACCACAUCUACUCGCAAGUCAAGUUCCUCAAGAUGAAGCAUUAAUAACGCAGCCCUGACAAAAUAAUGCAAAUUUGAAGAAUUCAUAAACAUAAAAAGAACUAACUACUAAUUAAGGUAUAGACUAGAAGAAAUAAUAAAAAUUAAAAUGUAAUAUAAUACUUAGCUACCUACGUUUCGCUACUUCAUAUUGAACUGAACCGGAGCCUGACAAUGCACCACACGACCUUUUUCUGAUUAUGUAAAACGCCAUGAAUAGAAUAGAAUUGAUCACAUCUCACAAGGAAGGAGGAGUGAUAUGGCGAUAACAUAUUUUCUUGGCGAAGAAGAAAUUACUGUCUCAAUGCGUAAAAUAUUACUCUACGAAGCAAGAAGGCUAAGAAUGAAGAAAGAAAAGAAGGCAAAACAUAAACGCAAGACGCAAAUAGUAGUUCACGACACGACAAGUUCAUCAGUAUCAUGGAAUUAUCGACAUUGGACUUGAAAUCUCAGUUGAAGUUCCGGUAUUGGAUUGACGACAGCAGUCAACUAUCGAUGAACACUGAUUUGAAGAUGCUUGACGUUCUACAGAGGAAGCAAGAAAAUAACAAUUAGAGAUAUUUACAGAUUAAAACAUAGUAGUUAUGCA